AGAGUUUGAUCCUGGCUCAGGAUGAACGCUAGCUACAGGCUUAACACAUGCAAGUCGAGGGGCAGCGGGAUUGAAGCUUGCUUCAAUUGCCGGCGACCGGCGCACGGGUGAGUAACGCGUAUCCAACCUUCCGUACACUCAGGGAUAGCCUUUCGAAAGAAAGAUUAAUACCUGAUGGUAUGAUGAGAUUGCAUGAUAGCAUCAUUAAAGAUUUAUCGGUGUACGAUGGGGAUGCGUUCCAUUAGGUAGUAGGCGGGGUAACGGCCCACCUAGCCUACGAUGGAUAGGGGUUCUGAGAGGAAGGUCCCCCACAUUGGAACUGAGACACGGUCCAAACUCCUACGGGAGGCAGCAGUGAGGAAUAUUGGUCAAUGGACGAGAGUCUGAACCAGCCAAGUAGCGUGAAGGAUGAAGGUCCUACGGAUUGUAAACUUCUUUUAUAAGGGAAUAAAACCUCCCACGUGUGGGAGCUUGUAUGUACCUUAUGAAUAAGCAUCGGCUAACUCCGUGCCAGCAGCCGCGGUAAUACGGAGGAUGCGAGCGUUAUCCGGAUUUAUUGGGUUUAAAGGGAGCGCAGACGGGUCGUUAAGUCAGCUGUGAAAGUUUGGGGCUCAACCUUAAAAUUGCAGUUGAUACUGGCGUCCUUGAGUGCGGUUGAGGUGUGCGGAAUUCGUGGUGUAGCGGUGAAAUGCUUAGAUAUCACGAAGAACUCCGAUUGCGAAGGCAGCCUGCUAAGCUGCAACUGACAUUGAGGCUCGAAAGUGUGGGUAUCAAACAGGAUUAGAUACCCUGGUAGUCCACACGGUAAACGAUGAAUACUCGCUGUUUGCGAUAUACAGCAAGCGGCCAAGCGAAAGCGUUAAGUAUUCCACCUGGGGAGUACGCCGGCAACGGUGAAACUCAAAGGAAUUGACGGGGGCCC
rnacentral:rRNA from 1 species